GAUGAACGCUGGCGGCGUGCCUAAUACAUGCAAGUCGAGCGAAUGGAUUAAGAGCUUGCUCUUAUGAAGUUAGCGGCGGACGGGUGAGUAACACGUGGGUAACCUGCCCAUAAGACUGGGAUAACUCCGGGAAACCGGGGCUAAUACCGGAUAAUAUUUUGAACCGCAUGGUUCGAAAUUGAAAGGCGGCUUCGGCUGUCACUUAUGGAUGGACCCGCGUCGCAUUAGGUCGUUGGUGAUGUAACGGCUCACCAAGGCAACGAUGCGUAGCCGACCUGAGAGGGUGAUCGGCCACACUGGGACUGAGACACGGCCCAGACUCCUACGGGAGGCAGCAGUAGGGAAUCUUCCGCAAUGGACGAAAGUCUGACGGAGCAACGCCGCGUGAGUGAUGAAGGCUUUCGGGUCGUAAAACUCUGUUGUUAGGGAAGAACAAGUGCUAGUCGAAUAAGCUGGCACCUUGACGGUACCUAACCAGAAAGCCACGGCUAACUACGUGCCAGCCGCCGCAGUAA
rnacentral:rRNA from 1 species